GAUGAACGCUGGCGGCGUGCUUAACACAUGCAAGUCGAACGAAGCACUUUAUUUGAUUUCCUUCGGGACUGAUUAUUUUGUGACUGAGUGGCGGACGGGUGAGUAACGCGUGGGUAACCUGCCUUUUACAGGGGGAUAACAGUUGGAAACGGCUGCUAAUACCGCAUAAGCGCACAGCAUCGCAUGAUGCAGUGUGAAAAACUCCGGUGGUAUAAGAUGGACCCGCGUUGGUUUAGCUAGUUGGUGAGGUAACGGCCCACCAAGGCGACGAUCCAUAGCCGAGAUGAGAGAGUGACCGGACACAUUGGGACUGAGACACGGUCGAAACUCCUACGGGAGGGAGCAGUGGGGAAUAGUGCAAAAUGGGGGAAGGGAUGAUGGAGCGACGCCGGGUGAGCGAAGAAGUAUUGGAGUAUGAAAAGCUCAAUCAGCAGGGAACAUAAUGACGGUACCUGACGAAGAAGCACCGGCUAAAUACGUG
rnacentral:rRNA from 1 species